rnacentral:tRNA from 1 species
GGUGGCUCAGUGGUAGAGUGCUUGCCUUGCAAGCAUGAGGCCUUAGGUUUGGUUCCUCAGCACCA